GGGCACUGGGCCUCCAAGUGUCAUAAGCGCUUCCAGCGAAGCUUCCUUGGUCUUGGCAAUGACGGCAAAGAUACACGCAACAAUGCCCGUCAGGUCGCCAUGGCUGAUCGUCCCUCGCCGCAGAAGCAACAGGGACACACUCAGUCCUACUCCAUCGAUCCACACUGGUACAUGGACUCUGGGGCGACAGAGCAUCUGACCAGCGAGAUGGGGAAGCUUCACACUCGUGAACCCUAUCAUGGCUCCGACAAGAUCCACACCGCCAAUGGAGCAGGUAUGCACAUCUCUCAUAUUGGUCAAGCAUCUCUUCUCACUAGACAUGCCAAUAGGAGUCUUCAGCUUCGCAAUGUUCUUCGAGUUCCAUCUGUGACCCGUAAUCUUCUUUCAGUUCCUAAA
rnacentral:rRNA from 1 species